rnacentral:rRNA from 1 species
UACGUAGGGUGCAAGCGUUAAUCGGAAUUACUGGGCGUAAAGCGUGCGCAGGCGGUUGUGCAAGACAGAUGUGAAAUCCCCGGGCUCAACCUGGGAACUGCAUUUGUGACUGCACGGCUGGAGUGCAGCAGAGGGGGAUGGAAUUCCGCGUGUAGCAGUGAAAUGCGUAGAUAUGCGGAGGAACACCGAUGGCGAAGGCAAUCCCCUGGGCCUGCACUGACGCUCAUGCACGAAAGCGUGGGGAGCAAACAGG